rnacentral:lncRNA from 1 species
GAAUCAGAGCCCUAUAAGUAGAGUUACGUUACCAGACGAUAGCUGACUUCCUCAUGUGUUUGAGUCGCGUCCCAAAACAUUCAAAAUUUAAUACUAUAUUUUAGUUGAAGAACUCUACAAAGGGGAUAUAUUUUGUUAAAAUACUCUCUUGUAGUGCCGUGGAUUUAAGGAAUCUCUCUGUGGCUGAGGGGAUUACACUUUUUUCAUUUGCAAGGGACGAACUCCUGGGAAGUUAAUGGGUCCUAAAAAUUAAAAGAAAUUUUUGGAAACCAUUAGAUAAUUCUCAAUUGUACUCUAAACAUUUUGAAGAAAAUCAGUUCAUAAAGAAUUACAGCUCUCAAGCCAUUCAAAAUUGUUUAAACAUCUAAAACCUUAAGUUCCAAGGCUCAUCAAAAACUCCCAACAGACCCAUUUUUAUUCCAGAGAACAAUGGUGAUGCUAAGCAAAUUUAAUCAGAUCGUAUAUACUUUAUCCUUAUUUGGAACCUCCUAUUUCCGAAAAUGGAGAAAUAGACUUAGUGGACAUGAAUCUAAUUUCAUCAACAAUAGAAGAGGAAAUUUGUUAUAAUGAUAUUUCUCCAGAUGUAAAACAUCUAUAGGAUAUUAAUACCAACCUACAAAUCCAACUUAGAGUAUAUGAAGCAGAAAUAAAGAAAUAACAGAAAAAGUUGUUGAAGGAGAAAUAUGUCAAAAUUCGGAACGUAAAAUCAAAGUUUAAGUCUUUAGAAAUGCAGCCUCUCCUUGGUAUUUAAUUCAAAUCAGUUAAAAUUUUUAAGUUCCAAGUCUUCUCAUUCCAAAACCUGCCUCUUAUCUAAUAAAACUAUAAAUUGUUUUUGUAUAAAAAUAAUUUCGUAUAAAUUUAGAAAGAAACGGGCACAUACUUUAUGAAGUGUCAUUUUAUACCCCGAAUGUUGGGGGUGUUUUCGGGUACCGGGGAUACUUGACGAAAGCUGCUAAGAGCUCAUCACAAUCCCUCCCAUCGUACUCCUAACAUAUAGGAGGAACAUAUCACAGAUUAUAAUUUUAAGCCAAUAAAGUCUGUCCAAGUUUCCUCAUUAAUUUAAACGAAAUUGUUUUUAUACAAAACAUCCUUAUACGGAAAUGUUUAAUACGAAUUGUCCUUAUACGAAUAUGUUCUAUACGAAGUACAGCAUACAUUUACGAAUGUAAACUGUAUAAUUAUCAAAGAAAAUAGAAUAGCUUCUUCUACUUUCGGAAGCCAAAGCAUGUGUAUGCGGAAUAAAGUAAAUAAAAGAAAUUAUUAAGAAAGUAAUUAUUCCAUUUGUUUAUAAUAAUUAAUCGUGUAUG